UGUGUGUGUGUGUGUGUGCAGGUUUAAGGAUUGUCUGUCAGGUGAGAAGGACUCCCUGGAGCUGCAGGUGAACAGGUUACAGGUGGAGUUGGAUACUGUUAGGAAUACUGUGCACUCCAAUCGUUCCACAGAACCCUGCAGCAGGUGGAGUGCUGAGGUGAUGUCUGACCUCCAGGCUGAGGCGGACCGAUGGAAAAGACUGUAUGAAGACCUGCUCAGACUCACCACACAGCAGGGCCAGCGGGCAGCAGAUGGGCAUCUCAAACCCUCCUGAGGAUCCAAACACAGAGCAGAGUUUCACAUCUUACACCGAUUCAAACUGACCCAUGA